UGAGAGGCGGCCAAUAGUGAAAUGGAAUGCUAUUUACAAAAGAAUAUCUAUGAAUGAUGGACCAGAAAGAGGCUCUGUUAGUGUGUUGAAUCAGUGGGAAAAUGAGGGGAAAAAGGUUACGAAAUGGGAACUUUCUAGGGUCAUUAAGGAGCUAAGGAAGUUUAGGCGUUAUAAGCUGGCUUUUGAGGUGUAUGAGUGGAUGAACAAUAGACCAGAGAGGUUUAGACUAACCACCAGUGAUACUGCUAUUCAAUUAGACCUGAUAGCAAAAGUACAUGGAAUAUCAAGUGCUGAAGAAUACUUUGAUAAGUUGCCAGACACCUUAAAAGAUAAGCGGAUAUAUGGGUCUCUUUUAAAUGCCUUUGUGCGGUCUAGAAAGAAGGAACAAGCUGAAUCUUUACUUGAUAAAAUGAGAAACAGAGGAUACACUGAUCAUGCUCUUCCAUUCAAUGUGAUGAUGACACUCUAUAUGAACCUUAAAGACUACGACAAGGUUGAAUCCGUG
rnacentral:misc_RNA from 1 species